rnacentral:rRNA from 1 species
UCCUCGGGGCGCAGCAGUGGGGGAUAUUGCACAAUGGGGGGAACCCUGAUGCAGCGACGCCGCGUGGGUGAAGAAGCGCCUCGACGCGUAAAGCCCUGUCAGCAGGGAAGAUAAUGACGGUACUUGAGGAGGAAGCCCCGGCUAACUACGUGCCAGCAGCCGCGGUAAUACGUAGGGGGCUAGCGUUAUCCGGAAUUACUGGGCGUAAAGGGUGCGUAGGUGGUUUCUUAAGUCAGAGGUG